rnacentral:rRNA from 1 species
GACGAACGCUGGCGGCGUGCUUAACACAUGCAAGUCGAACGGAGCACCCUUGAAUGAGACUUCGGUCAAAGGAAAGGAAUGCUUAGUGGCGGACUGGUGAGUAACGCGUGAGGAACCUGCCCUUUCAGAGGGGGACAACAGCUGGAAACGGCUGCUAAUACCGCAUGACGCAUUCGGAUGGCAUCAUCUGAAUGCCAAAGAUUUAUCGCUGAAAGAUGGCCUCGCGUCUGAUUAGAUAGUUGGCGGGGUAACGGCCCACCAAGUCGACGAUCAGUAGCCGGACUGAGAGGUUGACCAGCCACAUUGGGACUGAGAUACGGCCCAGACUCCUACGGGAGGCAGCAGUGGGGAAUAUUGGGCAAUGGGCGCAAGCCUGACCCAGCAACG